GAUAGAAGGUCGACCGAUAGUGGAAUUUGGAAGGUGCUAUAGAAGGUUGAUCGAUAGAAGAAUCCAGAAGGCAUUGUGGAAGUUCGUCCACUAGAGGAGUCUAGAGGACACUGUGGAAGGUCGAUCGCUAGAGGGGUCCGGAGGGAAUUUGUCCGUUGGAGGGGUCUGGUUGGCACUGUUGAAGUCCGGUUGGUGCUGUUGAAGGUUGAUGGCUGGAGAGGUAAGGAAGACACUGGAGACAGUCGGUCACUGUAGAAAUCUGGCUGCUGGAGCCUGUCCGUUGUAGAAGUUUGUC
rnacentral:lncRNA from 1 species